rnacentral:rRNA from 1 species
AACGAACGCUGGCGGCAUGCCUAACACAUGCAAGUCGAACGAGACCUUCGGGUCUAGUGGCGCACGGGUGCGUAACGCGUGGGAACCUGCCCUUAGGUUCGGAAUAACUCCCCGAAAGGGGUGCUAAUACCGGAUAAUGUCUUCGGACCAAAGAUUUAUUGCCUUUGGAUGGGCCCGCGUUGGAUUAGCUAGUUGGUAGGGUAAAAGCCUACCAAGGCGACGAUCCAUAGCUGGUCUGAGAGGAUGAUCAGCCACACUGGGACUGAGACACGGCCCAGAAUCCUACGGGAGGCAGCAGUGGGGAAUAUUGGACAAUGGGCGAAAGGCUGAUCCAGCAAUGCCGCGUGAGUGAUGAAGGCCUUAGGGUUGUAAAGCUCUUUUACCCGGGAUGAUAAUGACAGUACCGGGAGAAUAAGCUCCGGCUAACUACGUG